rnacentral:rRNA from 1 species
AACGAACGCUGGCGGCGUGCCUAACACAUGCAAGUCGUGCGAGAAAGUUCCUUCGGGAGCGAGUAAAGCGGCGCACGGGUGAGUAACACGUAGGUAACCUGCCCCCCAGUCUGGAACAACUAGAGGAAACUCUAGCUAAUGCCGGAUGAGACCACGAUCCCUUCGGGGGUUGCGGCCAAAGAUGGCCUCUACUUGUAAGCUAUCGCUGAGGGAUGGGCCUGCGGGCCAUUAGCUUGUUGGUGAGGUAACGGCUCACCAAGGCUGUGAUGGCUAGCUGGUCUGAGAGGAUGACCAGCCACACUGGGACUGAGACACGGCCCAGACUCCUACGGAGGCAGCAGUGGGGAAUAUUGCGCAAUGGGCGAAAGCCUGACGCAGCGACGCCGCGUGGGUGAUGAA